UACGUAGGGGGCAAGCGUUGUCCGGAAUUAUUGGGCGUAAAGAGCGUGUAGGCGGUCCGAUAAGUCGGUUGUGAAAGUCAAGGGCUCAACCCUUGAAUGCCGACCGAUACUGUCGGGCUAGAGUCCGGAAGAGGCGAGUGGAAUUCCCGGUGUAGCGGUGAAAUGCGCAGAUAUCGGGAGGAACACCAAUCGCGAAGGCAGCUCGCUGGGACGGUACUGACGCUGAGACGCGAAAGCGUGGGGAGCAAACAGG
rnacentral:rRNA from 1 species